UACGGAGGGUGCAAGCGUUAUCCGGAUUCACUGGGUUUAAAGGGAGCGUAGGUGGGUUGGUAAGUCAGUGGUGAAAUCCCCGAGCUUAACUUGGGAACUGCCAUUGAUACUAUCAGACUUGAAUACUGUGGAGGUUAGCGGAAUAUGUCAUGUAGCGGUGAAAUGCUUAGAUAUGACAUAGAACACCAAUUGCGAAGGCAGCUGGCUACACAAUUAUUGACACUGAGGCUCGAAAGCGUGGGGAUCAAACAGG
rnacentral:rRNA from 1 species